UGAUGUGGGGCUAGUCAGAGCACAGGGAGGUGGGGCUAGUCAGAGCACAGGGAGGAGGGGCUAGUCAGAGCACAGGGAUGUGGGGCUAGUCAGAGCACAGUGAGGAGGUGCCAGUCAGAGCACAGGGAGAAGGGGCUAGUCAGAGCAAAGGGAUGUGGGGCUAGUCAGAGCACAGGGAGGAGGGGCUAGUUAGAGCACAGGAAGAAGGGGCUAGUCAGAGCACAGGGAGGAGGGGCUAGUCAGAGCACAGGGAUGUGGGGCUAGUCAGAGCACAGGGAGGUGGGGCUAGUCAGAGCACAGGGAGGAGGAGGGACUAGUCAGAGCACAGGAAGGAGGGGCUAGUCAGAGGGCAGGGAUGUGGGGCUAGUCAGAGCACAGGGA
ensembl:lncRNA